UCGAGACGGUGACCUUUAAUAAUUCACAUCUAUACAAACUGGACCCCUGUUGUGUUCACCUCGAAGUGCUAAGCUACAUGUAUAGAUGGAAAGGCGGACCAGUUUAACAUCUAUAAGUCAUUUUGUUUCUUAUGGAUAGUAACUCGAAUAAUUCAAGCCCUUUCCGUGUCCGAUUUUCUCCCACACGUUAAUGUAGCCUUCGUAGAUCAGCGGAAUAUAACGACUGAAUUAUUCAACUAAUUUGACUGUGAGACAAGUCUUAUUAAACAUCAUUAGAAGUACAGUAAAUUGCUAAAAUGGCGGGAGUUCUUCAUGUUAUUGUGAGUGAAGUUCUAUUCAAACAUUUGCCUGCAUUUUUAGUAUUUUUGGAAGAUAUAUACAAAGACUAACACAAUUUUCUGACAGAAAUAAGAUUAUCUAUAGAUAAUCGAAAAAUCGAAAUCGGCAAAAUUUAAGACCUCAACUUAUUUGACUGUGAGACAAACAUGGCGGGAGUUCUUCGUGUGUUUGUGAGUGAAGAUCUAUUCAAACAUUUGCCUGCAUUUUUAGUAAUUUUUGGAAGAUAUGUACAAAGAAUUACACAACUUUCUGACAGAAAUAAGAUUAUCUAUAGAUAUAUAGAUACAUUAAGCGCAGUGUGUACAGUGUAUGUCGUCGCGAGUUUGAUUAUCAUAAGGGCUAAACAAGACCUUUCGACUUAUCAACGAGCUUGUUCUACUAUGAGCAACACGAAGAGUGUCACAUAGGGAUCAGGAUACUUUUAACUUUCUGGAUCACCUGAGAUGGGUUUGUGUUGCUCAGUAUUUAUGUUUUCUAUGUUAUGUUUUGUGUUCAAAUAUUUGUCUGUUAGUCUAUUUCUGUCAGAAUUAUAAGUAUUGUAAUGCAAAACAUACAUACUAUAAAAGCAACAAACGGCCGCUUCUUCGUUUUGCUGUUCUGAAGACAAACAAAAAUCAGAGAGACUACAACUACCAAACAGACAUUUCAACUCAUUAGUCGAAAAUAAACUGACAAUCACAUAGCAAAAAAGAAAAAGAUAAAAACACAAACAAAAACCAACUGGUAGAAAUUCCAGGUUCUCCGCAAGGAUAAACAAAUCCUACUCUACAUUCGUGUUGAGUUUUAUGAUCCAAAUGAUUUAAAGAAAAUUAUGAAAGUCAUAACUUUUAAAUC
rnacentral:lncRNA from 1 species